UAUUAUUUUAGCGGCGGACGGGUGAGUAACGUGUGGGCAACCUACCUUUUACUGUGGAAUAAUCGUUGGAAACGACGACUAAUACCGCAUACGGUUCUUGGAAGGCAUCUUCUAAGAAAGAAAGGAUUUAUUCGGUAAAAGAUGGGCCCGCAUCUGAUUAGCUAGUUGGUGAGAUAAUAGCCCCACCAAGGCAACGAUCAGUAGCCGACCUGAGAGGGUGACCGGCCACAUUGGGACUGAGACACGGCCCAAACUCCUACGGAAGGCAGCAG
rnacentral:rRNA from 1 species